UACGUAGGGGGCGAGCGUUGUCCGGAUUCAUUGGGCGUAAAGCGCGCGCAGGCGGCUCCGAGAGCCCGGCGUGAAAGCCCCCGGCUCAACCGGGGGAGGUCGUCGGGGACCUCGGGGCUGGAGGCCGGCAGGGGCGAGCGGAAUUCCCGGUGUAGUGGUGGAAUGCGUAGAGAUCGGGAGGAACACCAGUGGCGAAGGCGGCUCGCUGGGCCGGUCCUGACGCUCAGGCGCGAAAGCGUGGGGAGCAAACAGG
rnacentral:rRNA from 1 species